rnacentral:misc_RNA from 1 species
GGAAGUAAAUGUCGUAACAAGGUCUCCGUAGGUGAACCUGCGGAGGGAUCAUUACAGAGUUCGUGCCCUCACGGGUAGAUCUCCCACCCUGUGUUAUUAUACCUUUGUUGCUUUGGCGGGCCGCCCUCGGCUACCGGCCCCGGCUGGUACGCGCCCGCCAGAGGACCCCAAACUCUGAAUGUUAGUGUCGUCUGAGUACUAUACAAUAGUUAAAACUUUCAACAACGGAUCUCUUGGUUCUG